AUCUCUCACAAGACCUUCUUGGUCUCUGCUGAUGUUGGGAUGUGCGACCCCCUCCGGGGACGCUCUCCUCAAAUGAAUUGGUGCGGCCCGCCGCCCGGUUACACAACGUUCUAGGUUCGUCCAACUCGUUGCUUGACUGGCGCAACUUUGGUGCUGCACCUAAAGCCCGCCUUGUGCCUUGUGCUCUUGGCUACUUCAUU
rnacentral:misc_RNA from 1 species